rnacentral:tRNA from 1 species
UGCGGGGUGGAGCAGUCUGGUAGCUCGUCGGGCUCAUAACCCGAAGGUCGCAGGUUCGAGUCCUGCUCCCGCUACUA